UGCAUGGCAAUUAGGGACAUGAAGCCU
rnacentral:sRNA from 1 species